rnacentral:rRNA from 1 species
CCUUGUACAUACCGCCCGUCACACCAUGGGAGUUGGCUUUACCCGAAGACGGUGCGCUAACCGCAAGGAGGCAGCCGGCCACGGUAAGGUCAGCGACUGGGGUG